AAAUAUUUUUGGAAUGCUGAGGUGCAAUAGACAGCGAGGACAAGUGAGGAGCUACACUUCUGUCCUCAGCACCACGACAACACCUCACCAUCAUCCAGAUCACCAUGAAUUCGUUGCGUGUCCUGUUGGUCGUCUUCCUGGCUGUCUGCCUGAUCAGCGCUGUGUCAGCACAUCACCAGCCGCCAGGAGGGGCUGAUUGGCUUGAGAGGCUGCGGCAGCACUGCCUUGCCGAGGUGCACGACCCUGUUGAACACGACCUGGUUCAUCAAGGCCACGACCAUGACGAACACUGUGAACAGUUUGGUUUCUAACCAUGAAGAAUUUAACUGCACAAGACCUUUUAGUGUGUUUUUUAAUGUUUCAAAAUGUGACAUUAAUAAAUGAAAAUAUACAAGAUCUUUAAGAUUACUUUCUGUCAAUAUUUCAAAACUUGACACACUGAAUCACAAUAAAUAAAACACUUGUGUGCCAAACUAAACCAAAAUAAAGAAUUAGAUAAA